UACGUAGGGGGCAAGCGUUAUCCGGAUUUACUGGGUGUAAAGGGAGCGUAGACGGCAUAGCAAGUCUGAUGUGAAAGAUCGGAGCUCAACUCCGGGCCUGCAUUGGAAACUGUUAAGCUGGAGUACAGGAGAGGUAAGCGGAAUUCCUAGUGUAGCGGUGAAAUGCGUAGAUAUUAGGAGGAACACCAGUGGCGAAGGCGACUUUCUGGACGACCACUGACGCUGAGGCUCGAAAGCGUGGGGAGCAAACAGGG
rnacentral:rRNA from 1 species